rnacentral:rRNA from 1 species
CGGCACUCCGAAUAGCGCGGCGGACGUCGCGGCCUCCGGGCCGUCUUCCGCACGAGCUUCUUAGAGGGACCGUCCCCCGCCGGGGAAGGAGGUUGCGAGGCAACGUACAGGUCUGUGAUGCCCUUAGAUGUUCUGGGCCGCACGCGCAUUACACUGACGCGUCCAACGGGUGACUCCCGACCCGAAGGGCCGGGGAAUCCGCAAGGCGCGUCGUGAUGGGGAUUGAACGUUGCAAUUGUUGUUCACGAACGAGGAAUUCCUAGUAGGCGCGGGUCAUCAACCCGCGCCGAUUACGUCCCUGCCCUUUGUACACACCGCCCGUCGCUCCUACCGAUCGAACGGUCCGGUGAGGACCCAGGACGGCGCGGGACCCGAGGGGCCGAAAGGCUCCGCGACCCGUGUCGGAAUCCGUCCGAACCUUACCGUUUAGAGGAAGGAG